CAAUAGCGUAUAUUAAAGUUGUUGCGGUUAAAAAGCUCGUAGUUGGAUUUCUGCUGAGGACGACCGGUCCGCCCUCCGGGUGAGCAUCUGGUUCGGCCUUGGCAUCUUCUUGGUGAACGUAUCUGCACUUGACUGUGUGGUGCGGUACCCAGGACUUUUACUUUGAGGAAAUUAGAGUGUUUCAAGCAGGCAUACGCCUUGAAUACAUUAGCAUGGAAUAAUAAGAUAGGACUUUGGCGUCUAUUUUGUUGGUUUGCACACCAAGGUAAUGAUUAAUAGGGAUAGUUGGGGGUAUUCGUAUUUAAUUGUCAGAGGUGAAAUUCUUGGAUUUAUGAAAGACGAACUUCUGCGAAAGCAUUUACCAAAGAUGUUUUCAAGAACGUUAGGGGAUCGAAGAUGAUUAGAUACCGU
rnacentral:rRNA from 1 species